ACCUGCCCAUAAGACUGGGAUAACUCCGGGAAACCGGGGCUAAUACCGGAUAAUAUUUUGAACUGCAUGGUUCGAAAUUGAAAGGCGGCUUCGGCUGUCACUUAUGGAUGGACCCGCGUCGCAUUAGCUAGUUGGUGAGGUAACGGCUCACCAAGGCAACGAUGCGUAGCCGACCUGAGAGGGUGAUCGGCCACACUGGGACUGAGACACGGCCCAGACUCCUACGGGAGGCAGCAGUAGGGAAUCUUCCGCAAUGGACGAAAGUCUGACGGAGCAACGCCGCGUGAGUGAUGAAGGCUUUCGGGUCGUAAAACUCUGUUGUUAGGGAAGAACAAGUGCUAGUUGAAUAAGCUGGCACCUGACGGUACCUACCAGAA
rnacentral:rRNA from 1 species